rnacentral:rRNA from 1 species
CAAUAGCGUAUAUUAAAGUUGUUGCAGUUAAAAAGCUCGUAGUUGGAUUUCGGGGCAGCCUGGCUGGUCCGCCGCAAGGCGAGUACUGGUCAGCCGCCCUUCCUCUCGAAAGCCCCGACUGCUCUUCGUUGCAGUGGUCGGGUAGUUCGGGACGUUUACUUUGAAAAAAUUAGAGUGUUCAAGGCAGGCCUACGCCUGAAUACAUUAGCAUGGAAUAAUGGAAGAGGACCUCGGUCCUAUUUUGUUGGUUUCCAGGACCGAAGUAAUGAUUAAGAGGGACAGUUGGGGGCAUUCGUAUUUAAUUGUCAGAGGUGAAAUUCUCGGAUUUAUGAAAGACGAACAACUGCGAAAGCAUUUGCCAAGGAUGUUUUCAUUAA